rnacentral:sRNA from 1 species
GAUACAAGGCUCGAAAAGUCAUACUUUUAUGCUUGCAUAAAAAAGUAUGACCUUGAGAGCCGAACAAACAUGAGGAAGCAGCCAUUUUCCGUGGGAAAAUGAGCGAUUCCGAAUGGUUGUAGUAUUGCGGGAGCAUGGAAUGCGGAGCAAUACGUAGUAU